GAACUGAAGAGUUUGAUCCUGGCUCAGAUUGAACGCUGGCGGCAUGCCUAACACAUGCAAGUCGAACGCGAAAGUACCUUCGGGUAUGAGUAGAGUGGCGGACGGGUGAGUAAUGCUUGGGAAUCUGCCCAGUAGUGGGGGAUAACUCGGGGAAACUCGAGCUAAUACCGCAUACGCCCUACGGGGGAAAGAUUUAUCGCUAUUGGAUGAGCCCAAGUCAGAUUAGCUAGUUGGUGAGGUAAUGGCCCACCAAGGCAACGAUCUGUAGCUGGU
rnacentral:rRNA from 1 species